rnacentral:lncRNA from 1 species
AGAGUCUUUGAAAGUAAUGUCAUUGAUCCAGGAAGGAAUGAGAGAAGAUAAAGCCCAAGAAAGCACAAAGAAACCCCUGAUCACGGUGCAAGGUGCCAGAAGGUAUGUUGAUUUAAGUCAGGAUAAACCUAAGUUGAUAGUGGUAGGAGCUCCGAGUAAGCCCAUCUUGAUGGUGAAAUGAGCGCUGGCAGCGCCUAUUGUCCUC